rnacentral:misc_RNA from 1 species
GAGUAAAAGUCGUAACAAGGUUUCCGUAGGUGAACCUGCGGAAGGAUCAUUACUGAGUGAGGGCCCCUCGGGGUCCAACCUCCCACCCGUGUUUAACGAACCUUGUUGCUUCGGCGGGCCCGCCUCACGGCCGCCGGGGGGCAUCUGCCCCCGGGCCCGCGCCCGCCGAAGCCACCUGUGAACGCUGUCUGAAGUAUGCAGUCUGAGACAAUUAUUAAAUUAAUUAAAACUUUCAACAACGGAUCUCUUGGCUCUC